CGAUCUGUAGAACUCCUAGGGAGCAUGUUGAGCUGAUUCACCUCACUUUACCUAUUGGACAGAUACCAUCUGUCCUGACUUUGACUGUACAUGAUGAAAUAAACCGGACUUUGCAACUUGCUCCGUAAAAGAGCAAUACCUAGGGUUGACUACACUGUCUUAGCUGAGUGGGCGCGAGCGGCCAAGUCUAUAUUGACUAAAAGGGGUCAAGGACCCCGUAGAGAGGCUAUUUGAUAUAUAUACAUAUAUAUCGGGUCGGGCUGCAUGCAGGAGCAGUAUAUACAUAUACAUGUAUUGGAUCGGACUGCACGCCGCAGUAUUAUAUUAUAUGGAUCGGACUGCACGCCGCAGUAUUUUAGCGUUUGGGUUGAAGGAGCCCCUGCGGAGUCUGUACAGACCCCCAGUGAGCGCAGCCGGCUAUAUUAUUGGAUCGGGAUGCGCGCCGCAACAGUAUUAUAUAUUAUUGGAUCGGGCUGCGCGCCGCAACAGUAUUAUAUAUUAUUGGAUCGGGUUGCGCGCCGCAGCAGUAUUAUAUUAAAUUGGAUCGGGCUGCGCGCCGCAGUAGUAUAUAUAUCUAGUGUUGGAUCAUGCUGCGCACCGCAACAGUGUUAGCAUAUGGUCGGACGGAAAGGAAAGUAAUUACCAUAUUCUUCUCCAUGUUUGGUACUUAUUUACUGUUCUUGCUAUUGAAAAAAAAAAAGAACUGUUUAGUGUCUUUACCGAAUUUCUUACAUUCAGUUAUUAUUUAUUGCUAUUACUCACUGAGUUGAAACUACUCGCUCUACUCCCUGCACCUUGUAUGCAGAUUCAGGGAUCCCGGAGGCGUAGUUGUGAUUUGCUGUUGCAUUUCAGUCCCUUACUGAGUUGUCAAGGUAGCUGCUGGCGUCCGCAGGACCUGAUCUCUCCUCUAUCUAUCUUUUGUUUCCGUAUCUAGACUUUUCCUUUGUAUUGAAUGUUAUCGGUUAUAUUAGAGGCUCAGACUUGUGACGCCGGAUCCUUUGGCUGUAUUUACUUUGGAUUUUGUUUUCCGCAGUGUUAUUUACUAUUUCAAUCUGAGAUUUUAUCUUUAAAAUGAUAUUUAAGUUAAUGAUAAGGCUGGAAAUAAUUUAAUGGUCGGGCUUGCCUUACAAGAUGUUUGGCGCCAUCACAACCGGGGUUUGGGUCGUAACACUAAAGUUCUUGUAUGUGCGCUGAAGAGAAGUCUGCUCUUAACCAAAAUGCAGAAAUUUGACAUUUAUGAACCUUUCAAAUGAUUUCCCUGUGCUUACUGUUACUAUCGAGUGUGCCGUUAGAGUACUUUUAGUAUUUGGUCCUAAUACUUGAAAUAAAGCAAGAAAGCAAGUGUUUAUGACUCCAUGUGUGUUAUUUGUCUUAGAAAAGUCUACUGCUACUCUGUUAUUUUUUUUAUAUAGUAAAAAAA
rnacentral:lncRNA from 1 species